UACGUAGGGGGCUAGCGUUGUCCGGAAUCAUUGGGCGUAAAGCGCGUGUAGGCGGUCCGGUAAGUCCGCUGUGAAAGUCGAGGGCUCAACCUCGAAUGCCGGUGGAUACUGUCGGGCUUGAGUACGGGAGAGGCGAGUGGAAUUCCUGGUGUAGCGGUGAAAUGCGCAGAUAUCAGGAGGAACACCGAUUGCGAAGGCAGCUCGCUGGAACGUUACUGACGCUGAGACGCGAAAGCGUGGGGAGCGAACAGG
rnacentral:rRNA from 1 species